rnacentral:rRNA from 1 species
GGCCCUGAGAGGGGGAGCCCCCAGAUGGACUCUGAGACAAGAGUCCAGGCCCUACGGGGCGCAGCAGGCGCGAAAACUCCGCAAUGGGCGAAAGCCCGACGGGGUUACCCCGAGUGCCACCCUCGUGGUGGCUUUUGCCCGCUCUAAAAAGGCGGGCGAAUAAGGGGAGGGCAAGUCGGGUGUCAGCCGCCGCGGUAAUACCCGCUCCCCGAGUGGUGGAGGCUAUUACUGGGCCUAAAGCGCCCGUAGCCGGCCCGGUGUGUCCCUCGUUAAAUCCACGGGCUUAACCCGUGGGCUGCGGGGGAUACUACCGGGCUUGGGGGUGGGAGAGGCGCCCGGUAUUCCCGGGGUAGGGGUAAAAUCCUCUGAUCCCGGGAGGACCAUCAGUGGCGAAGGCGGGGCGCCAGAACACGCCCGACGGUGAGGGGCGAAAGCUGGGGGAGCAAACGGGAUUAGAUACCCCGGUAGU